rnacentral:rRNA from 1 species
GACGAACGCUGGCGGCGUGCCUAAUACAUGCAAGUAGAACGCUGAAGCUUGGUGCUUGCACCGAGCGGAUGAGUUGCGAACGGGUGAGUAACGCGUAGGUAACCUGCCUGGUAGCGGGGGAUAACUAUUGGAAACGAUAGCUAAUACCGCAUGAUAUUGAUUAUUGCAUGAUAGUCAAUUAAAAGGUGCAAUUGCAUCACUACCAGAUGGACCUGCGUUGUAUUAGCUAGUUGGUGAGGUAACGGCUCACCAAGGCAACGAUACAUAGCCGACCUGAGAGGGUGAUCGGCCACACUGGGACUGAGACACGGCCCAGACUCCUACGGGAGGCAGCAGUAGGGAAUCUUCGGCAAUGGACGGAAGUCUGACCGAGCAACGCCGCGUGAGUGAAGAAGGUUUUCGGAUCGUAAAGCUCUGUUGUAAGAGAAGAACGAGUGUGAGAGUGGAAAGUUCACACUGUGACGGUAUCUUACCAGAAAGGGGCUAAACA